GACGAACGCUGGCGGCGUGCUUAACACAUGCAAGUCGAACGGUAAGGCCCUUCGGGGUACACGAGUGGCGAACGGGUGAGUAGCACGUGGGUGAUCUACCCUGCACUUCGGGAUAAGCCUGGGAAACUGGGUCUAAUACCGGAUAGGACUCCUGGCUUCAUGGUUGGGGGUGGAAAGCUUUUGCGGUGUGGGAUGGGCCCGCGGCCUAUCAGCUUGUUGGUGGGGUAAUGGCCUACCAAGGCGACGACGGGUAGCCGGCCUGAGAGGGUGACCGGUCACACUGGGACUGAGAUACGGCCCAGACUCCUACGGGAGGCAGCAGUGGGGAAUAUUGCACAAUGGGCGCAAGCCUGAUGCAGCGACGCCGCGUGAGGGAUGACGGCCUUCGGGUUGUAAACCUCUUUCAGCUAUGACGAAGCGCAAGUGACGGUAGUAGCAGAAGAAGGACCGGCCAACUACGUGCCAGCCGCCGCUGUAA
rnacentral:rRNA from 1 species